rnacentral:rRNA from 1 species
UGGGGAAUAUUGCGCAAUGGGCGAAAGCCUGACGCAGCCAUGCCGCGUGAGUGAUGAAGGCCCUCGGGUCGUAAAGCUCUGUCGGGAGGGACGAAGGGUGGCAACACUCUGACGGUACCUCGCAAGAAAGCACCGGCUAACUCCGUGCCAGCAGCCGCGGUAAUACGGAGGGUGCAAGCGUUGCUCGGAUUUACUGGGCGUAAAGCGACCGCAGGCGGUCGAUUAAGUUUGACGUGAAAGCCCCGGGCUC